rnacentral:rRNA from 1 species
AACGAACGCUGGCGGCAUGCUUAACACAUGCAAGUCGAACGAAGCCUUCGGGCUUAGUGGCGGACGGGUGAGUAACACGUGGGAACGUACCUUUUGGUUCGGAAUAACGCAGAGAAAUUUGCGCUAAUACCGGAUGAGCCCUUCGGGGGAAAGAUUUAUCGCCGAAAGAUCGGCCCGCGUUGGAUUAGGUAGUUGGUGUGGUAAAGGCGCACCAAGCCUACGAUCCAUAGCUGGUCUGAGAGGAUGAUCAGCCACACUGGGACUGAGACACGGCCCAGACUCCGACGGGAGGCAGCAGUGGGGAAUCUUGCGCAAUGGGCGAAAGCCUGACGCAGCCAUGCCGCGUGAAUGAUGAAGGUCUUAGGAUUGUAAAAUUCUUUUACCAGGGACGAUAAUGACGGUACCUGGAGAAAAAGCCCCGGCUAACUUCGUGCCAGCAGCCGCCGUAACAC